UGGCCACCGGGGCUGCAGGAACCAGGACACUGAUAACCACAGCCUUCAUGGCAGUAAGUGAAGGGAGAAAGGGAGACCUACCAAGCUGAAACAGCUGAACGCACUGGGUGAAUGUGGCAGGACAGACAGGACCAUGCUGACAGUCCUGCUCAGUAAAUAUUUGCUGAUGACCAGCAUGACGACGCUUGGAGAAACUAACCCCCACCAAACUGUUCAGGAAAACAUUCUUCUUUCAUCACUGACCAAUGGAAUUUCUGUAUCCCAGAGAUGUUGUCUCAGGCAUGCAACAGUGACUACAGCUGAGAGAAGAAGAUACAGAAGAAAGUUGCCCUCCAGGACGAAGGCUAAGCUCUCAAUUCUAGGGGACAAUUCUGGCCCCCGGCCAGCCCAGCACUUCUGUCACGUCUUGCCUGGCGCAUCUGUCUGGCUGUGAAAUGGUUUUCUGCACCUCAUGCUGCCCCCAAGACAGCAGUGGAGCACGGAAAGCUGAGAGACGGUGGAGAAGGCUGACUUUCAUCAUAGCAGGAGGCUGGUGAUUUUCUCACAAGGAGGACCUCAGAGCACCAAGAAGCAUAGUGAGCUCCUUAGAGGGAACGUUUCACUGACGGUGUGAUCUGAUGGGUUGAGCAUGAACAUUCUGCAGCGCAGACCGGGUUCCUCCAGGCCUUGGAGGGGCUGAGCUUCCAGCUCCUGGGAGCCUGUCAGUGUCUCAGGGCUUCUGGGAGCAGGCCCUGCACAGAGCACGAGCCCGUCGAUGGAGCAUACACAGAGGCCAACAUUUACUAUGAUCUUCCUACGCGCCCAGCACUACGCCAAGUGCUUUCCAUGUGUUAUCUCAUUUAAUCCUCACGACAACUUGACAAGGGAGUUCACUUAUCACCCCAAGUUUACUGAUGUGCUAACUGAGGAUAGAGAGGAGGCUUCAACUUGAACUCAGUCUGGCUCCUGAUUCCGGAAUCUCCACCGUUCUCCCCUAAGCUGCCUCCCAGGACAGUAUGAAGUGUGAGUCCAUCUAGUUGCCUGUUGGGCCAGCCUCUGGGGACCAGCAUCCCCUCACGGAGGAGGCCUGGCCAGCUCCCAGGGUGGCUCUCACGCCUCCAAUCACAGCAGCAUGGCAAUCUGUGCCCGCUACCAGAAGGAAAAGCGCUCUUGGCACUUGCCCUCCUGAAGGGGUCAGUUUUCAGAGGACGAGACAUUUGGUGAGCUUGUCUUGAACUGCACAGAGCACAUGGCGAACCGACCAGGGCUGCUCACCGAGGGGAGUCAGGAGGGCGGCUGGCUGACUCUCCUCCUUUGCUGAAGCCACUGGGCAUCUGGAACCAGCCCCAAAGCUCAGGCCUGACUUCGGCCUUCCUUGUCCGGCGAACAGGGUUUAUCGAUUUCAAAGCAUGUAUUUCAUUCCCUUUUCAUUCCAGCACUAAAGCGGCUCCCUUUGCUCGUUGAGGCAGAGCCCCUUCCUCUCUUCCAGAAAAAUCCUGAGUCACAACUGUCUUGGAUUAUUUAGUUGAUCCAGCAUGGAAG
rnacentral:lncRNA from 1 species